GUACACACCGCCCGUCACACCAUGGGAGUUGGUUUUACCCGAAGACGGUGCGCUAACCGCAAGGAGGCAGCCGGCCACGGUAAGGUCAGCGACUAGGGUGAAGUCGUAACAAGGUUUCCGUAGGUGAACCUGCAGAAGGAUCA
rnacentral:rRNA from 1 species